GAACUUAAGCAUAUCAAUAAGCGGAGGAAAAGAAACUAACAAGGAUUCCCCUAGUAACGGCGAGUGAAGCGGGAACAGCUCAAAUUUGAAAUCUCAGCGCAAGCUGCGAAUUGUAGUUUAGAGAAACGUUUUCGGGGCCGGCAGCCAGUACAAGUUCUUUGGAACAAGGCAUCACAGAGGGUGAAAAUCCCGUCUUUGACUGGCUGCUUGGUUCCAUGUGAUACGUUUUCCAAGAGUCGGUUUGUUUGGGAAUGCAGACCAAAAUGGGUGGUAAAUACCAUCUAAAGCUAAAUAUUGGCGAGAGACCGAUAGCGAACAAGUACCGUGAGGGAAAGAUGAAAAGAACUUUGAAAAGAGAGUUAAACAGUGCGUGAAAUUGUCAAAAGGGAAACGUUUAAAACCAGUAUUGCGGGCAGAAACUCAGGUUCCAUUUAUGGUGCUGUAUUUUUCUGUCGGCGAGUCAACAUCAGUUUUGCUUGGAGUAAAACGCCAGGGGAAGGUAGCCUUCGGGUGUUAUAGCCUCUGGUAAUGCUCUGGGCGGGACUGAGGACUGCAGCGUUCUUUGGGUUUACCACACCGACGCUUAGGAUGUUGACGAAAUGGUUUUAAGCGACCCGUCUUGAAACACGGACCAAGGAGUCUAACAUAUAUGCGAGUAUUUGGGUGGCAAACCCUUAUGCGUAAUGAAAGUGAAAAGGUGGGAUCCUUUGCUGGUGCACCAUCGACCGCGCCAGAUUAUUGCUAUCUCGGCGUGAGUAUGAGCAUACAUGUUGGGACCCGAAA
rnacentral:rRNA from 1 species